rnacentral:lncRNA from 1 species
UAUAGUCCGGACGCUUGAGCCGGAGCGGGCACAGGUAGUUGCGACGCGCCGGCGGCCAGGAACAUUUUACCGAGACACAUGCAACACUGUGCAGCCGAAAGAGCCAUGGUCGGGUUGUCUUCUCGUCACACCUAAGCGUAACCACCGGAUUAUAUCAUGUGACAUGUCCGAUCGGAAUGUGAUUUUCGGAGUGGAUUUAUAACGAGAAUUAUAAGUCCUUCGCAACACACUGGAUUGAAAUUUGACGCACGCAGUGACAGAAUGCAUUGGAGCGAGAUAGCACCGCCGAUGAGAAUGAAAAUAAUGUUGCCGUGAGUCACACGUCAUCCGCCUAUCAAGAGAGAGGCUGGUUUGGGGCAUUCAAGUAUCUAAAAUGGCUGCCUCCGUUGCGUCAUCUCCGGGCGUGGCUGAAUGGAUGUACAUGUACAUAAGACUUGGCGAAAUAACAGGAGUACAGAUGCCUGGGAAGUUGGUGACGAAAGAGGGAAGCGGAAUGCAAAAUGAUCUCGAUAUUUGUCCGUGUCACGCUCUGUUUUCUUUUUUACCUGGAUCUGCUUUUGCAGAUGGGAUGUCAUUGUACUCUACACUACAUACUCAAGAAGGGUGGGCGUUGCUACCCAAUAAGAGAUACUUAAAUGUGUUUUAAAAAAUGGCAGUAGAAUAUUACCACAGUGACAAAAUCCCAAAGACCACAGGCAAUGUAACUUUAACCAUGGAGUGAAUUCUAAUGUUCUCCUUCCUCACUUUUUACAAGAAAAUGGUUUCAUCAUGAGCUCGUCAUCCCUUUCCAGUUGGAGCCAUUAAAAUUCGCAAGAUUAAAAAAAUUCACAAAAUGUGAUACACAGUCUCUAUCUUCUUAAUAUAGAAUUUACGCCAACCAAGACAAAUGAGUCCUCGCGGAGGAAUACGUGGUGUGAAGGUUCACAGAAAACGCCCCUCCUUGACCGUGAAUAUCGUUUAAUUACUUAUCAAUGUAACAUUUAUCCCUUUCCCGAUUCGAAUGUUCACACUGUACUGGAACUGGGGUAUAGAACACAUCACUUGGAUCUUUGCCACGUACAUCGCAUUGGGAAAAUGAACUUCGUGGGACUGUGUCAAAAAAAAGUAGCGAGCCCAAUUUUUAAAUUUUAAACCUAGGUUCCCUUCCGUGAGGUCAAAUUUCAAAACCAAGUAGGCCUAGCGUUUCCCUUGGUCAAGAGAUAUUUCCAGUGAAACUCGUGAGUUCUUGGAACAAAGGGUGAAAUCACUUCAUGUCGGAAAUACAUCUGAAAAGAAUAGUGCAUGUUUCUUUGAAUUAAAAGCUUCCAAAUAAGAAAAAAAAAUCAUUUUCUCGGAUUUUAUCAUCAUAGCGACCUUGUCAACCUUUAUAUUCAGAUGAACUAUGAGCUUCCACAGCCACGAGAUCUCGGCACAAGGGGCUCCCGAACAUCUGAAUUUGAGAAAAGAAAACAGCAGAAACCAGAGGAGCAGCUCGAGUCAGCUCCAAGGCAUUCCUAAUUGAGUGAGAAGCAGGACUGACGGGGCGUUGAUCGACACGGCUUGAUGGCGUGUUUGUCCACGGCUCACGGGAGCGGGAGAGACGGGAGAGCGCACCGGCCAAUGAGGCGGUACCACGGGUGUGUGUGCGUGUACACGGUCCGCGGCGGUGCUGGGCCCCAAUCCGUCAUCUCGACUGACGCCCGGGGGCCAGAGGUCGGCGGGUCAAGCUCGGGUCAUGCCGUGUCAGGGCUCUCUCCUCGAUUCCCUCUUCCUUUGGUUUCUGGCUGUUGACGACAACAUCAUCAUCAUGAAGAGGUGCUCUUCUGCUGCCAUUUGAAAAAGUGCAUUUUCCCAAUGGACGUGCUGGGAUUGAGGGUUAAAUUUGAGCGGCAGUCAAAAAAGCCCUUCGAAUACAAUCUGAAAAAGUACCUCAGAAGCCUCCAAUCAACCCUUGUGAGUUUGCGGCGAGAACCAGCAUGCCCUUCAUAGACAAACAGAAAUUUAGACAACGCACGUCCAAGAUUGCCCUGAAGGGACACUGAGGUUAUAAAUCUUUUUCUAGUCACCGCAAAUCAAAUUUUAUUUUACGACGUUGCGGAUUUCUGUCACGAUGUCACCUACUUGGCACGCUGGGCCAGCUUCAUCUUUCUUACAAAGCUUCUAACAAAGGUGACCCACGACAUUUGCGACAGUGCAGCGCCCUCCAGUGGACGUUGGCAGCCAGUGUUGUGAAACUUGGCGUGAUCAUUGUGUAUCUACAUAAAAAGGAAAGUUUGUAAGCAUUGAGCCAUAUUGGCCCAAUAACAUUCACUUUUACUUUUCGCGAAGAAUAAUUAACAAAACGACCUUUUGGUAAACUGUGCUCCUAACAACGCACAUGGUUUAAAAACUCACUGUAUUGGAAUUUUGGAAUGGAUCAAAUAUAUAUGAAAUAAAAUACCACUGGGGAAAUUCUUUUUUUUUCAUGUCACAUUGAGUGUCGCAGCUAUUAUCUCCUUGGAGAAACGUUCUCAGAAGACUUAUCAGACAAAAUGAUGUUUUAAGAUUAAAAUAACGCUCAAGAAUUUCACAAGACAAUGAAUAUGAACUUUGUGUAUUUAUACAAAAAUAAUUUUUAAUCCUGAUAUAAUCAAAAUGAAACCAACUUCAUUAUGAAAAGAGUAUUCUGUAAUGUAAAGGCUUGUUUCUGACUUAUUACAAAUAAUUAUGACAAGUAACCAGGAUUUAGCCUUUAUGAGGUGUAAUAUUAAUUUCCUAUGCAUUUAGGGAAGCAUCUCACUGGCCAAUCCUAUUUUAAUCCCAGAAUGGUUUAGCCUAAUGAUUGCGGUAUAUAUGUCUGGCUGUUUGGGAUAACUGUUUGGAAAAACACGUGUCUUGGAUCAUUAUUCCAACAAGAACUCGAGUCGAAUUUGUCGCAGAUAAUACAAGCCUUCUGCAACUUUAAAAGGGGGACGGGCGUGGACUAUUAAACAGAGAACUGAACAUUCAUA